rnacentral:lncRNA from 1 species
GCCGGGGUGCCGGGUGGGGGCAGGCUCGGGGGCCUGCCUGCGGUGAAUCAGGCUUGUGACCUCAGGCCGUCCAGGAAACCAGGGCGGUCUUCCAAGCGGGCAGCCACGUUGCCUACUUGAGGCCAAGGCAGAAGCAUCAAUCACAUGGGGCGUAGUUUCUGUCUGGCUAAAGAACGGCUCACGCGGACCUCGGGAAUGCGACUGUGGAAACGACGGGGAAGCUGGAAGGGCUGGGUGGCGGGGGAAGCUGGAGGGCACAGCUUCCAGAUUCCAGUUUGUUAAGAAUCACCUGAAGGACGUUUCUCUGAAGGGAAAGUGGGCAUCUGUGAAGGGUUAGAGGCACAUACUUCAACUUUCCCUAGCACAAGAGUGGAAAUCCAUACUCCUUGGGGAGGGACUUUGUCACUGAACCUUAAGAAAAUGGUUACUGGACUGAGCUUGGUUACUUAUGCCUGUAAUCCUGACGUUUUGGUAGAUGGAAGUGGGAGCAUCGAUUGAGGCCAGGAGUUCUAGCCUAGGCAAUGUAGUGAGACUCUCAUCGAAAAGAAAAUAAAAAAAAGAAGAAAGAAUCUCGUGGCUGUCAUUUUUAAUGUUGCUGGUGUGCAGGGAGGCUGUUUUGACUCUUAUUUCCAUUCUUGGGCCACCGGCAGAGCAGGGCAAAGCUAUGAGGUUACAUAGACCUGGCUUAGACCCCAGUCCCAUUCCCCAGCAGCUUCAGGCCCAAGCAACGGUCUCCAUCUCCCUGAACACAGUCUCCUUAUAGGUAAAAUAACUGCAGAGUUGAUGCUGGAAUUAAAUCAAUGCAGUGGCGAGCCCAGCGCUGCAGAGCCCCGUGCUUAGUGACCAAAAUAAUGUCCCGCCUGCCUCAUCUUCCUCUCGGAUUUUUGCCAAGGCCAAACUGCGCGUGUCCCAGAAAAAAACCCUCGGACACUUGGCCUCUGCCCUGUCUCAGCCGAGUGACUAGGAUGACUGGGAAGUGAAUCACAGGAAAAUCACCCAAGCCCACUCUUCUCCACAGCCGGUGAGCAGAAGGAAGGAAGCAAAGAAGGAAGGGAGGAAGGGAAGAAGGGAGAGUUCAGUUCCCUUUCGUCGUUCACACAGUGGUCCUCCACACCAGGAAACCUAAGGGCUCUGUGGAGGGCCAGGUGCCGUGGCAGCAACACUCCUCAGGGCCUGUUUCAGCACCCCAUUUACGUGGCACAUGAAAAAUUCAGGAUGAACGCCCUGGCUGAAAGCUCUUCCUGGGUUUGGGACAUCAGAAGACCUUCCCGGGAUGGGCUCUUGUCUCUGCAGUAGCUAUGACCUGCACAUAAACCUGUUUCCUACACUGUAAAAUUGGCGUAACCACCAUUCCCUCCCAGUCUUUCUCUGGAGUCCUAAUGGGAACAGUGACGGAAUGAAAGUGACCACGCUGGAACCCGAAGCGCUGUUCCCCUCCGUGGCUUCACACUGAUCUCCACACUAGAAUUCCGUGUCUGCAGUUCAAGUUCAAACUACUGUGGUCGGGGAAGGGCUACAGAGAUCUCGCUUGGCCGUGGAGUCACCGGCCCCGUCCAGUCUUGCUUGGGACACAUACUGGUUUACACUCUCUCGGGUUCAGUUUCCUCAUCUGUAAAUGGGGCUCGUAUCCCCCUCAUAAAGUGGUUUGGGGGAUAAUAAAGCUUGUAAAAGCGCUUUGCCCCAGUGCUUGGCACAUAAUACGCGCUACGUUAACAAUGUCGCGUACACGCCCGAACCGGAGGAACCCCAUUCCACGCUCCUUCUGGAACCGAAUUCACCUCUGAGGCUUUGGGGCUUCAGAGCCGGAGCCGCUUGGGCAAAACCAGCAGAACAGCGAGAGGGAACGGGCUGGUCUAGCCCUGCCCUGAGCAUUUCUACUGAGACCCCCGGUCCUGCUUCUUCCAGCCUCUGCUGGAUUUCUCUCCGACCCCUCUGGAGCGAAGCCCUUUGGCCCUGCGUUGCAUGCGGCACGGUGCGGGUUCGGGCUCUGCGCUGGAGCCGGGAUGCCCUCCGGCGGAGGGUGCGCGUAGGCGGCGCCUGGGCGUGAGCCCCGCCUGCAAGGCUCAGCGUCGGGGAAGCACUUUUCUCGUCGACCCGGGGUCUUUUUCCGCCAAGGAGCUCGGGGCUCAAGAACUCGGGACUGGGCUGUGGGCGGGGCAUGGUUUUCCUCUCUGGGCGUCCUAAUCUCCAAUUUCAGGCAAAUUCGCUAGGAAGAACCUUCCCGAGCGCGCCUUCUCCAACAGGACCUCCAAGCCAGCCUCACGCACGCAGGCCUGGCUCUCUCCUGCAGAAUCCCCACCUGCCCUAUAACUACCCACUUCAGAUAUGGGGGAAUGGAGGAGAUAUUCCAAUCACGCCAUCUACCUACAGUUUCCACGGCCCCUUCUGUUGAAUGGUAUUUUCCUUUAGGGUCCCUAGAAGCAGAGCAAAUGAAAAGGCCAGGGGGAAAAAAAAAAAAAAAAGAAAGAACCGGUGAAUUGGCUCUGAGCCCAAUAAACGGUUCCUCUUUCCUUCUCCGGUCCUUUCCCUUCCAACAGAGCGAUUGAGAAAUCAUUUCAAUAAUCAGCAAAUCGGCUGGGAAAUGGAGAACCAGAAGGGAAUGUCCUAUCCAACAGCGCUUUUUCUUCUCUCAAUAGAAGCCCAGUCUUUCAUUUAGAUAUGAAUAUAGCUACUGUGCAUUUCUCCAUUAAUAAAUAUAAAUUUCCAAACUAGGUGGUGAGGGAUAUGAAUUUCCAUGGUACAUUGGGCCCUAGAGACACCAAGAAGCUUCAGGUCAUAAGGGGGUCUAUUCAGGCUAUGUCCAAGCACAACCAAAUUAUGGCAUUAAAAACAAGAGGUCUUGAUUCAGAUCUUUCACGUUUUAAUAACAGAGGGGGAUGCUGCUGAUAUAGAAAAGUGAUUGAAAAUAUUUGUAAACAUAUACUUCUCACUGGACCUCCAGUCAUGUUGGUGGGUGUGGUAGACAGAAUCAAGUACGUCAACUAGCUGUUUUCUGGUUUAGAAACAAAAAAUACCCCCAGCCCCACCCCCACUCUGGAGUCUUUGCUUCUCAACUACGAAAUGGAAAAAAAAGAACUCAAGUCCCAUUUAGACUGUGGGAGCUCAGCCCAUGAAGGGACUGUGGGAAUUGACAUGGAGAGUUUGGGGUGGAGAGGUGGAAGGGUGGAGGAAAUGAGAUCGGCAGCAGACACUGAGUCAGAGGCCUGAGACUAAGGCCUGGCUCUGUGUCCUUGAUAUCCCCAAGCCUCAGUGUUCACAUCUAUAAGAUGAGGAUAAUAUUGAUCUCACAGAACUGCUGUGAAGAAUCAACCACAUAAUAUAUGUGACGAUGGUUUUUCAUUAUCAGCCUUUCCUUGGCCUGGACCAAAUUGAAAGGAGACUGUGGGGCCAGGCAAGGUGGCUUGGAUCAUGCCUGUAAUACUAGCGCUUUAGGAGGCUGAGGCAGGAAGAUCCCUUGAGACCAGGAGUUUGAGACCAGCCUCAGCAACAUAGUGAGACUCUAUAUCUUAAAAAUAAAAUAAAAUAAAAUAAAAUAAAAUAAAAUAAAAUAAAAUAAAAUUAGCCAGACAUGGUGGUGCAUGCCUGUAGUCCCAGCUCCUCAGUGGGGAGAGUUGGGAGGAUCACUGAGCCCAGGAGGUCAAUGCUGCAGUGAACCAUGAUCUAGACACUGCACUCCAGCCUGGGUGACAAAGCAAGACCCCGUAAAAAAAAAAAGAAAGAAUGAGGAAGAAAGGAAAAGAGAAAAAAAGAAAAGAAAAGAGACCGUGGCAAAGAAGGCAAGGGUCCAGCUUGGGCCCAGCCCAGGGAUGGGUAUGAGCAUCCCCAUGGCUACUUGAUGCCCUGUCACGUGGGUUCAGCUGGCUUAGUCUCACCCUCUGCCAGAUCCAGGAGGAAGUGAGAAUCCAUUACAGUGGGCCUGUCUCAGCUCCUGUUUGCUUUGGCCACAGCGUGAUGGUGUCUUGCUGGCUUUGCCAACAGGAUUUAGGUGUUUGCUCUCCCGCCUGGCAUGGCUGCUAAGGCAGCUGGCAUUCUGCUCCUGCUUAUCAUGCUGGCUGAGACUUCCUGCUGCUGCUGCUUCCCCUUUCUCAGAUGGAUGGGGUCCUAUUUUAUUAUCAUUGUCACAAGACUCCUAUGCUUGAGAAAGCAGGGUGGUGAAAAGAGGCCACAGACUUUCCCUUUCAAAUGGCUCCCCAAGAAGUACAUACUCAAGGACUAAGAUGAAUCAGGAAGUACGCCAGGAAAAGAAAUGAGACAGAGAGCCAGAAAAAACAGGCACUAACCCUAGAUCUUUAAAGGACUUGCUUUGCUUUCCACACUUCUUUCCUCAUGCUUUCUGAGGACAGUAGUAGAUAGCGGGAGUAAAGGGGAAGGGAGCCCCUUGCUGAAGGUCACCCCACACCAGCCAGAGCCCACGGUUGGAGAGUCUUGGAGGAGAGUCUUGGAGGAAACAUGAUUAUCAGGUGCCUGAUGGGAAGAACAUGUGCUCAGAAUAAUCACAUCCCCUCCCAUAGCCAAGGCAACUCCCAGAACCUCCAGCCACCUCCCCAGCACAGUGUGCAUUCAGAAGACAUGAAAUCCCCUCCACAUGACACACUACCUGCUUGGCUUUCCAGGCUGCUAGUGAAUAACUUACAGUCAUGGCUGGAGAAUGCAAAAUAAUUGAAAGCAAUGCUUAGUAAAUUGCAGUUUCAAGGUCUUCAUUGCCUUCCUAACAAUUUGCAAAACUCAUUUUAUUGCUUUUUUAGAUUCCUCGAAUUGAAAUACCACUGCAUGCUGUAAUUAAGCUAAGUGACAUGCCAGCUGUAAAGGCAAGGGUUGUGAAUGAUUACAUUCAGUUCAUGUAAUCAUACAGGAUGAGUGUGGGGAGGGAGCCUACAACAGCUGCCGGUCUGCCUUGCUUACACUCUCUGCCAGGGUGGAAGGAAAGCUGGAAUCUAAACUCACUUUUUUUUAAAACAGGGUCUCCCUCUGUCACCCAGGCUGGAGUGCAGUGGCACAAUCAUAGCUCACUGUAGCCUCAGCCUCCUGAGCUCAAGCAAUCCUCCCACCUCAGUCUCCCGAGUAGCUGGGACUAUAGGUGUGCAACACCAUGCCUGGCAAAUUUUGUUGCUGUUGUUGUUUGGUAGAGACGGAGUCUCUAUGUUGCCUAAGCUAGUCUCAAACUCCUUGAGCAUCCUCCCACCUCAGUCUCCCAAAGUGCUGGAAUUACAGGUGUGAGCCACACACUCGGCCUGAAGUCACCCUUUUAAGGCUAGUAAGAGUUACCCAUGCUGUCUGAGGCGGCCUAAUCCAGUGUGGGGUAAGCCAGGCAAGUGGUUCCCAAACCUGACUAAGCAUCAGAACUCCC